UACAGAGGUGGCAAGCGUUGUUCGGAAUUACUGGGCGUAAAGGGCGCGUAGGCGGUCCCAUAAGUCCCGCGUGAAAUCCCCCGGCUCAACUGGGGAACGGCGCGGGAGACUGCGGGGCUUGAGUUCGGGAGAGGGAAGCGGAAUUCCAGGUGUAGCGGUGAAAUGCGUAGAUAUCUGGAGGAACACCGGUGGCGAAGGCGGCAUCCUGGACCGAGAUUGACGCUGAGGCGCGAAAGCCAGGGGAGCAAACGGG
rnacentral:rRNA from 1 species